AUCCGGUGGAACCCGUAGAUCCGAACUUGUGGGGCUGUGGUCACAAGUUCUUGUUUAUGGGUACCUACUGGUAGAA